GUCUGGGUGGCUCAGUCGGUUGAGCGACUGACUUCGGCUCAGGUCAUGAUCUCACGGUUUGUGAGUUCGAGCCCCGCAUCAGGCU
rnacentral:tRNA from 1 species